rnacentral:tRNA from 1 species
GGGCCUAUAGCUCAAUGGCAGAGCGCGCGACUCAUAAUCGCUUGGUUGAAGGUUCGAGCCCUUCUAGGCCCACCA